GAUGAACGCUAGCGGGAGGCCUAACACAUGCAAGCCGAGCGGUAUUUGUUCUUCGGAACAGAGAGAGCGGCGCACGGGUGCGGAACACGUGUGCAACCUGCCUUUAUCUGGGGGAUAGCCUUUCGAAAGGAAGAUUAAUACCCCAUAAUAUAUUGAGUGGCAUCAUUUGAUAUUGAAAACUCCGGUGGAUAGAGAUGGCACGCGCAAGAUUAGAUAGUUGGUGAGGUAACGGCUCACCAAGUCAAUGAUCUUUAGGGGGCCUGAGAGGGUGAUCCCCCACACUGGUACUGAGACACGGACCAGACUCCUACGGGAGGCAGCAGUGAGGAAUAUUGGACAAUGGGUUAGCGCCUGAUCCAGCCAUCCCGCGUGAAGGACGACGGCCCUAUGGGUUGUAAACUUCUUUUGUAUAGGGAUAAACCUACUCUCGUGAGAGUAGCUGAAGGUACUAUACGAAUAAGCACCGGCUAACUCCGUG
rnacentral:rRNA from 1 species